CCUCGGAAAUAUGGCGACAGCUUCAGCUUUCAGUGUGAGGGAGCCGAGGGCCCAGCCAAACCCUGCGGGAGGCAAUUCCUGGGUACCCUUCCCAUAUUUUCGGUCUUUGGGCUGCGCCGUGGUAACCUCAGAGCCUGGUUGCGUGCUCACCAGCGACAAGUGUCUUUCAUUGGGACAUGAAAGGGGACUGGGAAGUGCCGUGCAGUUUCAGGGUGGUUUCUGGUUAAUUACAUUUUCAUGGGUUUUCGCAGAGUCUGGGGGCAAUUUGUGUCCUCCAGAGACCAGGGACCAGGGCCGAAGCUACGGCAGGGGAGACGCGGCCAGGGCCGUGGCUUCUAGUGCGAGCUCGGUUCGCGUCCGUUCCCGUCUGGCGCCCGGGCCUCCGGGAGCCCAGGGCCUUGAAUGAGACAGUGCUCGUCCUUGAAAAAGCAGUUCUAGGUCACUCGGCCUGCUUUGCCAGCAUUCCGGGCCCCAGCUCACCUUCCGCCAUCCAUGUUGACAACACCAGUUCUACGACGAAGCGGGCGAUUCCUCUUGCCUGGAAUUUCACUCGUCCCCGGUAUCGAACCCCCGCCCCAAUUUUCUACGUUACAACUCCAGCGUAUUUUUAACGGCGCAGCCAGUAUCACCUCCUUGGUAUAAAGCCUGCGCUGUCCUGGACCUUCUUAGGAGUGCAGGCUUAGGAACAGGAGCUAUGCUGUUCUAUUAUUUUUCUUUAGUUUAAUUUUUUUUUUUUAGAGAUGGGAUCUCGCUGUGUCGCCCAGGCUAGAGUGCAGUGGCGGGAUCAUAGCUUACUGCAGGCUGGGGUCAAGCAAUCCUCCCGCCUCAGCCUCCUGAGUGUAUGGGAUUAUAGGCGCAGGCCUCUAUGCCAUUGUAAAUGCUGUGGAUUUUGAGUAUUUGACCUCUAUGAGCCUCAGUUUUUGCAUCUCAACAUUGAGAUAAUACUAGUACCUCAUAAGGUUAUGUGACGAUUAAAUGGAAAGCUCUUACAAUAUAAGUGCUUAAUAAGUAUGUUAUCAUAUGUGCUUCCAAAGUACUUUGUGUAGGCCUUUUAUAACGCUUGCCCUUUCUAUUACCAUUAUUUGUUCUUGCCUGCCCUACUAGACUGAGAUUCUCAAAAGCUGGAACUGUCUUGUUUAUAAUCUCAGCGUCUGUCAGUGCUGGGCAAAUGUAAAGCUAAGAAAUGAUUUCUUAGAAAACUUUUUAAAAGCAGUCUUUCUUCUCCUUUCCCUUUCUUCCUUUCCUUCACUUUUUCCUCUUUGAGAUAGGAAUUUUCAAACCUAGAGAAGAAGCUGAGACCCUAGGGGGAAAGAUUGGGACCUUUUUGUUGUUGUUCUCAGUGGUGACCAAAAGAGCCUUAACAUUCACCUCAGCCUGACAACUUUAGACAGGUUUCUUCUGGAUGUUAGGGCCCUGACCUCCCCUUUCUUUGAGUGUUUACUUUAGAAAACUUGUGAUUGCAAAAUUCUUCUCUGCUCCUUUGAAAUGUGUAUAAAUCUCCUUAGAAGCUUAUGCCAGUUUUACGACCUAGGGAAUGUCUUUCUCAAGGACCUGUGAGCCAUCCCUUUGAAAUGUAAUCAUCAAGGAAGAUAGCACCCCUAUCUCUCAGUCUCUGUGGGAGGGUGGGAGCCUAACCUCCUGUGGGUGCCUUGUUUGGAAUUGUAAAACUACAGCUUGUUUUGAAGAUACAAGAAAGUGUCCUUUUCCUUUGCAGUUAGCAAACACAGAUGUCAUGUGAUUUCCCGUACAGCAGCUCUUAAAAACUUCCCAGACCCUUGUUUGAGUAGUGUUGAGUUUAAUCUCGUAUUGCAAUAGUCUUAAGGUCUUUCUUGCCUGUUUAACUUUGAUGCAAAUUUUGACAAUGGAAAUUUUAGGUUCUGCAUUUAUCGUUUCUUCCCAAUUACAGUGGUUUCUCCUUUCUCCUUGUUAAGAAGAGCUUCUCACAUCCUCUGAUUUCUGGAGAAAUCAAUUUGGACUCAAAAGAUUGGAGUUUUGUGGAGUGAAGCUACUGUUUUUGUUUUGUUUUGUUUUGUUUUGUUUUGCCUGAGAUAGAGUCUCACUCUGUCACCCAGGCUGGAGUGCAGUGGUGUAAUUAUGGCUCACUGCAGCCUCUGCCUCCUGGGUUCAAGUGAUCCUCCUGCCUCAGCCUCUCAAGUAGCUAGAAUUACAAGCAUGCGCUACCACGCCCAGCUAAUUUUUGUAUUUUUAUUAGAGACGGGGUUUCACCAUGUUGACCAAGCUGGUCUUGAGCUCCUGGCCUCAAGUAAUCUGCCCACCUUGGCCUCCCACAGUGCUGGAAUCACAGGUGUGAGCCACCACGUGCUGCCAGAAGCUACUGUUUUAAGUCAUCAUUGCAAAGGGUAGUGUGUGAUGCGCAGGAGUGGAAAGGGCAGUACAUCUAUUUGAGAGCAUCCCAAAUGAGGUCCAUUCAUAUUAUGGAAGUGCACUGCGAAAUAAAGAACAGGCCUACCCCCUUGUUUUAUUAUGAAGGGGUAUGAGAAAAAUGCAAUUUUCAAAGAAAGAGAACUGCUGAGGAUGUAGUACCUUCUCAAAGAAAGCUGUGUUUGGUUAAGGUGAGAAGCUAGAGGAAGCCACAGAGGGCAGGGUUACAAAUUGAAAGACUUCUGCAAUGGUAGAGGUAGUAUGCAGAAGGGUUCCUUAAAAUACAGGGAUCCAUGUAAGAUGAGGAGGUAAGGUGGAGUAGGAUUGAGGUGGAAUGAAAUGAAAGAUGGAAGAGAAAAAGGAAGGCAGUAGGGGGAGAGGGGAGUUAAUUUGGGGUAUGGAUAACAGGGAAGGAAAUAGGUAACCUGAGAAGCUUGGUAGAGGCACUUGCCACUUGCAUGGGAAGGGAAAUAUCAUGCAGACGGUCCUGUUGCUAAAGGAAGCUAGAGGAUUUAGGAGAAGGGGUUUGGCACACUGGCCUCUAUCACCCAUCCGUCCCCGACAACACACAACACAGACAAAUUGAGUGCACUGUUGACAUUUAGUAUCAUUCUCCCCCCAUGACUGGUGGAAGCUAAGAAGAUGAAGUUCAGGGUGCUGAUCUUUUUUUUUUCUUUAACUGACUUUUCUUAUGUGAGUACUUACCCCUAGUUCCCUCUUUCUUCCCUUCCCUUCCCUCCCUCCCUCCUUCCCUCCCUUCCUUCCUUCCUUCUUCUUCUUCAUUUUUUUUUUUUUUAAUGAGACAAGGUCUUGCUGCGUUGCUCAGGCUGGAGUGCAGCAGUGCUAUCAUUGCUCGUGCAGCCUUAACCUCCCAGGCUCAAGCAAUCCUCCCACCUCAGCCUCCUCAGUAGCUGGGACUACAGGCAUGUGCCACCACACCCAGUUCAUUUUUUAAAUUUUUUGUAGAGAUGGGUCUCCCUAUGUUGCCCAGGCAGGUCUCAAACUCCAUCCUCAGCCUCCCAAAGUGCUGAGAUUACAGUCAUGAGCCACUGCGCCCAGCCCUUUUUUUCUUGCUUCUUUACCUACUUUUCACAGGAAUUGGGUAGAUGAGGGUAGACCCAGGAAGUGAGAGUGGAAUUUGAGAAAGAAAAACAGUAAAAUGAAGAGCUGAAAAAUAAAAGAGUUUAUUUCUAAAUGUAUGUACGAAACUCAGGUUGGGGGACUAGCAUGUAAAGGUAUAUACAAAUAAAAUGGAGUUAAGUG
ensembl:lncRNA novel transcript, antisense to OR10AD1